rnacentral:rRNA from 1 species
UGGGGAAUAUUGGACAAUGGGCGCAAGCCUGAUCCAGCAAUGCCGCGUGAGUGAUGAAGGCCUUAGGGUUGUAAAGCUCUUUCGCACGCGACGAUGAUGACGGUAGCGUGAGAAGAAGCCCCGGCUAACUUCGUGCCAGCAGCCGCGGUAAUACGAAGGGGGCUAGCGUUGUUCGGAAUUACUGGGCGUAAAGGGCGCGUAGGCGGCCUGUUUAGUCAGAAGUGAAAGCCCCGGGCUCAACCUGGGAAUAGCUUUUGAUACUGGCAGGCUUGAGUUCCGGAGAGGAUGGUGGAAUUCCCAGUGUAGAGGUGAAAUUCGUAGAUAUUGGGAAGAACACCGGUGGCGAAGGCGGCCAUCUGGACGGAUACUGACGCUGAGGCGCGAAAGCGUGGGGAGCAAACAGGAUUANAUACCCUGGUAGUCCACGCCGUAAAGAUGAAUGCUAGACGUCGGGGUGCAUGCACUUCGGUNUCGCCGCUAACGCAUUAAGCAUUCCGGCCUGGGGAGUACGGCCGCAAGGUUAAAAACUCAAAGG